rnacentral:rRNA from 1 species
ACCUAGCGGCGGACGGGUGAGUAAUGCUUAGGAAUCUGCCUAUUAGUGGGGGACAACAUUCCGAAAGGAAUGCUAAUACCGCAUACGCCCUACGGGGGAAAGCAGGGGAUCUUCGGACCUUGCGCUAAUAGAUGAGCCUAAGUCAGAUUAGCUAGUUGGUGGGGUAAAGGCCUACCAAGGCGACGAUCUGUAGCGGGUCUGAGAGGAUGAUCCGCCACACUGGGACUGAGACACGGCCCAGACUCCUACGGGAGGCAGCAGUGGGGAAUAUUGGACAAUGGGCGCAAGCCUGAUCCAGCCAUGCCGCGUGUGUGAAGAAGGCCUUUUGGUUGUAAAGCACUUUAAGCGAGGAGGAGGCUACYURGAUUAAUACUCUAGGAUAGUGGACGUUACUCGCAGAAUAAGCACCGGCUAACUCUGUGCCAGCAGCCGCGGUAAUACAGAGGGUGCGAGCGUUAAUCGGAUUUACUGGGCGUAAAGCGUGCGUAGGCGGCUUUUUAAGUCGGAUGUGAAAUCCCUGAGCUUAACUUAGGAAUUGCAUUCGAUACUGGGAAGCUAGAGUAUGGGAGAGGAUGGUAGAAUUCCAGGUGUAGCGGUGAAAUGCGUAGAGAUCUGGAGGAAUACCGAUGGCGAAGGCAGCCAUCUGGCCUAAUACUGACGCUGAGGUACGAAAGCAUGGGGAGCAAACAGGAUUAGAUACCCUGGUAGUCCAUGCCGUAAACGAUGUCUACUAGCCGUUGGGGCCUUUGAGGCUUUAGUGGCGCAGCUAACGCGAUAAGUAGACCGCCUGGGGGAGUACGGGUCGCAAGACUAAAACUC